GAUCAUGGCUCAGGAUGAACGCUAGCUACAGGCUUAACACAUGCAAGUCGAGGGGCAUCGGGAAGAAAGCUUGCUUUCUUUGCUGGCGACCGGCGCACGGGUGAGUAACACGUAUCCAACCUGCCGUUUACUCGGGGAUAGCCUUUCGAAAGAAAGAUUAAUACCCGAUAGCAUAAUGAUUCCGCAUGGUUUCAUUAUUAAAGGAUUCCGGUAAAGGAUGGGGAUGCGUUCCAUUAGGUUGUUGGUGGGGUAACGG
rnacentral:rRNA from 1 species